rnacentral:rRNA from 1 species
AUUGAACGCUAGCGGCAGGCCUUACACAUGCAAGUCGAACGGAGUGGCGAACGGGUGAGUAAUGUAUAGGAACGUGCCCAGUAGCGGGGGAUAACUACGCGAAAGGGUAGCUAAUACCGCAUACUAUUGGAGCGGCCGAUGUCGGAUUAGCUAGUUGGUGGGGUAACGGCUCACCAAGGCGACGAUCCGUAGCUGGUUUGAGAGGACGACCAGCCACACUGGGACUGAGACACGGCCCAGACUCCUACGGGAGGCAGCAGUGGGGAAUUUUGGACAAUGGGGGAAACCCUGAUCCAGCCAUGCCGCGUGUGCGAUGAAGGCCUUCGGGUUGUAAAGCACUUUCGGCAGGAAAGCGGUACCUGCAGAAUAAGCACCGGCUAACUACGUGCCAGCAGCCGCGGUAAUUC